CCCCGCCCCUGCUGCCGCCCGCCCGCUCCGAGGAUGAGCGCUCGGCAGUGAGGAGCUGGGACAGACCCGGCUUGGGCUGCGUUCCCUUUGCGCCGGAGGACAUGGAGAAAGGCAUGCACUUUGAAAGAGCCUACCAUUGUGGCCAGCCGGGCACUGGGUCUUGCUAGCUAACUGUCUGCUGCCAUGACCGUACUUUCUCACUCGGGAUUCUCUAGAGCCAAGAACUGUUAGAGCCUUCAGUCAAGGCCAGACUGCCAAUACAGUCCCAGCUGUCGAAGGAACAGGUUUGGAAGACGUGCCUGCACGCCCUACACUUCUGGAGCAAAGAUCUCAGAGGGUCCCAAAGUCCUGCUGGGGAGAAAAAUACCUUUCUGCAAUAUUCAGGUCCCAGAGAAGUUACCUCUUUGAUAGGCAGGUGUUCCAAGUGGCACUUGGCCCCUCUCACCUCCCCCCAGGCUUCCUGACCAGUGCAUGGACACCACAGAAUUCCAUUGCAGCAACUUCCAG
rnacentral:lncRNA from 1 species